GAUGAAGAACGUAGCGAAAUGCGAUACUUGGUGUGAAUUGCAGAAUCCCGUGAACCAUCGAGUCUUUGAACGCAAGUUGCGCCCGAAGCCACUAGGCCGAGGGCACGCCUGCCUGGGCGUCACACGCCGUUGCCCCCCCAUCUACUCCUUCGGGAUUGCGGGGGGGCGGAUGAUGGCCUCCCGUGCGCCUAGCCGCGCGGUUGGCAUAAAUACCAAGUCCUCGGCGACGCACGCCACGACAAUCGGUGGUUGCGAAACCUCGGUUGCCCGUCGUGUGCGUUCGUCGCGCAUCGAGGGCUCGAAAAAAUGCUCGGCUCCGGCUGGGCUUUCAACGCGACCCCAGGUCAGGCGGGGUUACCCGCUGAAUUUAAGCAUAUCAGUAAGCGGAGGA
rnacentral:misc_RNA from 1 species